GCGGCAGGCCUAACACAUGCAAGUCGAGCGGAAACGAGUUAACUGAACCUUCGGGGAACGUUAACGGCGUCGAGCGGCGGACGGGUGAGUAAUGCCUGGGAAAUUGCCCUGAUGUGGGGGAUAACCAUUGGAAACGAUGGCUAAUACCGCAUAAUAGCUUCGGCUCAAAGAGGGGGACCUUCGGGCCUCUCGCGUCAGGAUAUGCCCAGGUGGGAUUAGCUAGUUGGUGAGGUAAUGGCUCACCAAGGCGACGAUCCCUAGCUGGUCUGAGAGGAUGAUCAGCCACACUGGAACUGAGACACGGUCCAGACUCCUACGGGAGGCAGCAGUGGGGAAUAUUGCACAAUGGGCGCAAGCCUGAUGCAGCCAUGCCGCGUGUAUGAAGAAGGCCUUCGGGUUGUAAAGUACUUUCAGCAGUGAGGAAGGCRGRKWCGUUAAUAGCGKSCUYGUUUGACGUUAGCUGCAGA
rnacentral:rRNA from 1 species